ensembl:lncRNA
AAAUUGAGCAUGCUAUCUUUGGAUCUGAGAUCUAGGUGUUCUCCUUUGUCUGGGCCUGGGGUAGUAACGUUGAGAAUGGCACUAUAGGUUGGUAUGAUGGGGAAAGGUAUAUGUCAAUGAAAAAAAUCAUUAGUACCAGGUGCAUUUUUUCACAAGUAAAUACAUGUAUUUUUAAAGUAAUGUAUUAAUUCAGCAGACAUACAAUGAACACCUACAAUGGACCAACACUGUGGGUGAUGACGUAAAAAUGAACAAGAUACAAUCUCUGACCUCAAGAUGUUCACAUACAACCUGUACACAAACAGUGUUUUUAAAAAUCCAGAAGAUGAAAUGUGCUAAAGUGAAUAAGCAAAAAAAAUGAAACAAGAGGUAUGAGCAGAAUACUUAGUAAUUUGAUGGAUGGCAAGAUGGCCCAUUGGAGAUCUCGGGGAAUAAAGGCUCUGUGUCUUUUCCCACAUAUCGCUCUGGUGAUGCUCUGGAGGGGUUUGAGCCGGGCUUGGAAGGACCUGGAGGUAUUAUUAACUGCAAAAGAAAAAUUUUUCUUCCUUAACGUAUUUCUGCAACCAAAAGAGAGUGAUGUCGCACAAAUCUUAGUAGCAUCUGAGAGAACCAUAAUCACAGUGGGCUCCAGGCAGCUGAACCCCUUGGAUUUCCUCACCCCCCGCCUGCCCUGACUGGUAAAGCUGCGUCCUCCCAGACUAUAGCUCCUGUGGGCUGGGCCCUCAUCUACAGCUCCAGCUCU